GGCCCGCGGUGCAUUAGCUAGUUGGUAGGGUAAUGGCCUACCAAGGCAACGAUGCAUAGCCGACCUGAGAGGGUGAUCGGCCACACUGGGACUGAGACACGGCCCAGACUCCUACGGGAGGCAGCAGGAGGGAAUCUUCCGCAAUGGACGAAAGUCUGACGGAGCAACGCCGCGUGUAUGAAGAAGGUUUUCGGAUCGUAAAGUACUGUUGUUAGAGAAGAACAAGGAUAAGAGUAACUGCUUGUCCCUUGACGG
rnacentral:rRNA from 1 species